rnacentral:rRNA from 1 species
AUGUUCAGACUAGCCAUGCACGUCUAGUACAAACUAAAUGAUGGUGAAACUGCAAAUGGCUCAUUACAACGGUUAUGAUGUACCCGGGAGUUCCGAUGGAUAUUUCCAGUAACACUAGAACUAAUACAUGUCCCUGCGUUUAUUAGUUUCGCACAGUCCGUCGCUGAGUCAUGGUAAACAGUUGAUCGACUCGACGUCCCGGAACAGUUUCCGCCCCAUCAGCUUCGAUGGUUGGGUAUUGGCCUACCAUUGCAACAACGGGUAACGAGGAAUUAGGGUUUGAUUUCGGAGAGGGAGCCUGAGAAACGGCUACCACAUCUACGGAUGGCAGCAGGCGCGCAAAUUACCCAAUGCAGACACUGUGAGGUAGUGACGAGAAAUAAUAAAGCGGGACUUCUGUUUCGCUAUUAUAAUGAGGAAUAACCAAAGGUCAUUCCGAUUAGCAACUGAUGGGAAAGUCUGGUGCCAGCAGCCGCGGUAAUACCAGCGUCAGUAGCAUA